rnacentral:rRNA from 1 species
UACGAAGGGGGCUAGCGUUGCUCGGAAUCACUGGGCGUAAAGGGUGCGUAGGCGGGUCUUUAAGUCAGGGGGGAAAUCCUGGAGCUCAACUCCAGAACUGCCUUCGAUACUGAGAGUCUUGGGUCCGGGAGAGGUGAGUGGAACUGCGAGUGUAGAGGUGAAAUUCGUAGAUAUUCGCAAGAACACCAGUGGCGAAGGCGGCUCACUGGCCCGGUACUGACGCUGAGGUGCGAAAGCGUGGGGAGCAAACAGG